UACGUAGGGGGCAAGCGUUGUCCGGAAUCAUUGGGCGUAAAGAGCGUGUAGGCGGCCCGGUAAGUCCGUUGUGAAAGUCGAGGGCUCAACCCUCGAAUGCCGGCGGAUACUGUCGGGCUAGAAUCCGGAAGAGGCGAGUGGAAUUCCUGGUGUAGCGGUGAAAUGCGCAGAUAUCAGGAGGAACACCAAUGGCGAAGGCAGCUCGCUGGGACGGUAUUGACGCUGAGACGCGAAAGCGUGGGGAGCAAACGGG
rnacentral:rRNA from 1 species